AUUGAACGCUGGCGGCAUGCCUUACACAUGCAAGUCGAACGGCAGCACGGGAGCAAUCCUGGUGGCGAGUGGCGAACGGGUGAGUAAUGUAUCGGAACGUGCCCAGUCGUGGGGGAUAACGUAGCGAAAGCUACGCUAAUACCGCAUACGAUCUAUGGAUGAAAGCGGGGGAUCGGAAGACCUCGCGCGAUUGGAGCGGCCGAUAUCAGAUUAGGUAGUUGGUGGGGGAAAGGCUCACCAAGCCGACGAUCUGUAGCUGGGCUGAGAGGACAACCAGCCACACUUGGCAUUAGACACGGCCCAGACUCCUACGGGAGUCAGCAGUGGGGAAGUUUGGACAAUGGGCGCAAGCCUGAUCCAGCAAUGCCGCGUGCAGGAUGAAGGCCUUCGGGUUGUAAACUGCUUUUGUACGGAGCGAAAAGGCUCUCUCUAAUACAGGGGGCUCAUGACGGUACCGUAAGAAUAAGCACCGGCUAACUACGUGCCAGCAGCCGCCGCCGUAA
rnacentral:rRNA from 1 species